GUCAGGUUCCAAUUAUGUGACAGCAAAUCUUUUUUUCCCCAAAAUAUGUGGUAUCUAUUUAGCUAUUGAGAAAUGGAAAACUAGUGGUAUCCCAAAGGUAGAAGAGAUGUCAGCCUUGAUGAAAGAUAAAUUUACAAAGUAUUGGACAGAUGUGCAUGGCCUUAUGGAGAUAGCCACUGUUUUAGAUCCUAGGUAUAAAUUGAUAUUCAUGAAAGCAUUUUAUAGAACUAUUUAUGGGGAAGAAGCUACAGAUAUUGAAGUGUCUAGAGUUAAAAGUUUAUUGUAUGAAUUGGUAUUGGAAUACCAAGAUUUUAUGGAGGGUAUGGCAACAACUGAUGCUCUAGGUGCAGCUAAUAGAAACGUUGCCCUAAAUGAAGGAGAUGAUCUUAUGUUUGGUAUAUUUGAUAAGUUCUUGUCAGAAAAACCCGAAGAAUCCUCAACUUAUUUGCGCACUGAGUUGGAUUUGUAUUUGGAGGAGCCAACAUUGCCUAGAACUCAAGAACUUGACAUCAUUAGCUGGUGGCAGUAUGCAGGAAUUAAGUAUCCAACUCUUAGAAGAAUUGCUCGAGAUAUAAUGGCAAUUCCUGUUACGACAGUGGCAUCAGAAUCUGUGUUUAGUACUGGUGGAAGGGUAAUUAGCCCGCAUCGAAGUAGACUUGCUCCUAAAACAGUUGAAGGGUUGAUGUGCAUGCAAGCUUGGUCUCGUGCUGAUAUGUUAGGUGAUCAAUCUGGUUUCAUGAAUGCACUAAUGACUUGUUUGGAGGAUGAAGAGGAGGAAAUGGAUGAUCCUGAUUCUACCAUCAUUGAUUGAAAUAUAGGAAGAUUGCAACACAAUCCAUGCUGCUUUUUCAUGUCAAGUGAUUAGGCCUACUUGCUGCUUGCUGCUGCCUACUGGAUUGUUGGUAGGCCUAACUGCUGGUGGUUCUUUAUAUGUGCUAGCUGCUGCCUGCUGCUAUGCUGCUGGUUGUAUGAACUGUAAUUUGUGGUUGGAAUUGUACUCAAUAAUGCGUGUAUGAUUGUAAUUUCUUGUUGUAUCA